UACGAAGGGGGCUAGCGUUGCUCGGAAUCACUGGGCGUAAAGCGCACGUAGGCGGCUCUUUAAGUCAGGGGUGAAAUCCUGGAGCUCAACUCCAGAACUGCCUUUGAUACUGAGGGGCUUGAGUCCGGGAGAGGUGAGUGGAACUGCGAGUGUAGAGGUGAAAUUCGUAGAUAUUCGCAAGAACACCAGUGGCGAAGGCGGCUCACUGGUCCGGUACUGACGCUGAGGUGCGAAAGCGUGGGGAGCAAACAGGG
rnacentral:rRNA from 1 species